GUCCCCAUCGUCUAGAGGCCUAGGACACCACCCUUUCAAGGUGUAAACACGGGUUCGAAUCCCGUUGGGGACGCCA
rnacentral:tRNA from 1 species